AGAGAAGAUCCAAAGUUAUAUUUGUGAUUGGAACUCCAUUGAAAUCUAUUUACUAUUCUAAUGAAGUUUUCUUACCUAACUGCUGCUAUGAAUUGCUUGGGCAUGUAUGAGUAGUUCCAUUGUUAGAUUUUAAGGUUUAAAUAGGUUAUGAGGGAUUAACCCCAACUAUAGAUUGCUGAGUUGUGAUAAUAAUCAUUAGGGAUUGUCAUUAAUGCAUGAUUCUAGAUUAGCUA
rnacentral:lncRNA from 1 species